rnacentral:rRNA from 1 species
GACGGAGGAUGCAAGUGUUAUCCGGAAUCACUGGGCGUAAAGCGUCUGUAGGUGGUCAAAUAAGUCAACUGUUAAAUCUUGAGGCUCAACUUCAAAAUCGCAGUCGAAACUAUUAGACUAGAGUAUAGUAGGGGUAAAGGGAAUUUCCAGUGGAGCGGUGAAAUGCGUAGAGAUUGGAAAGAACACCAAUGGCGAAAGCACUUUACUGGGCUAUCACUGACACUGAGAGACGAAAGCUAGGGGAGCGAAUGGG